rnacentral:lncRNA from 1 species
UUCCAAGCAAGCAUAGAGACCAAGCUUUAACCUCCAACAUUAAUUUUUUUUAAAAAAAUCUCAUUUCAUAAGAGAAAAAAAUUCUUAUUCAAAGUGGAUUCCUUUCAGAGUCAUAGAGAGCAAGCAACUACCCAAUUCAGCCUGAUUAAAAUCCCAUAGAGAGAGCUUUUUGCUCUUCCAAGAAGAACCAUACAUAUAUAUCUAUGGCUCCUAUCACCACUGUGUUCUUCUUGAUCUGCUCUUCUUUUGAUCUUCUGACAAGACCUCAGUUUCUAGCAAUCCAUGUUUCAGCAGUCCUGGAAUCUUCAUCAAGGUUUGGUUUUGCCCUCAUGGAUGCUACUGCCCUCCUCUGAUCAUGUCUCAGCUAGUGAUUAGGUUUGGCAUUCAUGCAUGGACUCAACUUUUGCUAUGGAAUUUUUCAAAUUCUGUUAUUUCUUUAGUUUGCUUCAUUACCUUGAUUUUUUCUUUUUUUUGGUUGUUUUGGUGUUUGUGAGCUCUUAAUAGUGGAAGGAGCUUUAGUGCUUUUGCCCUUUCUUCUUUCUCAGACAGUGCUUUUGUCCUUACAAUUAUAUGUUUUCUGUCCUAACAUAUCAAGAAAUUUAAUUAAUGGCAUUCUUAAAAUUUAUCUUUUAAAGAAUAAUAUAAGUUAAAAAUUAAAAUUUCAUUAUUUUAAAAAAAAUUAUAUAUAUUUUUUUAGAGUGGGCUCUAGCAAAAAUUUUUAAUUUAACUUAAUUUUUCAUUUAAAUUAUAUUAGCUUUUUAAAAUACAUUAAUCAGAAAUAUUUAUCUUAAAAUUAAUUUUUAUUAUUAAAUUAUUUAUAAUUAUAAAAAAUAAAUACAAAAUUACUAUGAAUUAUGAUGUUGAUUCUUAUAUAAUUAGAAGAGUUAUACCUAUAUGAAAAAUAAUUAUAUUUUGAAUUUUCAAACAUAUAUUAUAAUAAAUUAAUAAUUAUGUGUCUGUUUUAAUAAUAAAAUAAUAAAUUUUAACAAAAUGAAAUAUUAGAGCAAUAUCAAAUUAACAUUAAUAAUUCAAUUAAAUUCUUCUAUAACACAGCAUAUUUUUAUUUUUGCUAAAAUGUUUUUUAUUUAAAAAAUUGAAUGUUUUAUUGUAAAUAUGAGAAAUAAAAAAUAAUUAAAUUAAAUAUUUAAAAAUUUUAUUGAUUCUAAACAAGAGAAUAAAGUAAACCUAACAUUNNNNNNNNNNNAAAAACCUAACAUUCAUAAUACUGUUGCGAAGACGUUUAAUUAAUUUUAACUAAAUGGUUAAAAAAAAAAAACGUUUAUAUGUAUAAGUCUGGAUCAACUUAUUCUAUUCGCAUUUAAAAAAUUAAUCGAACUAAAUUAAAGUAAUUUUUUUAAUUUAAUUUUUAUUUUUAAAAAUUUUAAUUAUUUCAAAUCAGUUUAGUGUUAAUAAAAAACAGUAAAAUCGAAUUUAGUGAAUAAUAAUAUAUUAUUUUUAAUAAUAUAAAAAUAUUAAAAUUAAUCAAAAUCGAUUCUAUUUGAUUUUCAUAAAUACUAAAAUUUUAAUUUUUAAUUUAUUUAAUUCGAUUUAAUUUUAAACCGAACCGACCAAAUACUUACCCUACAUUCAUCUACUAAAUGUUGAUAUUUUAAUUGAUACUAUGUUUAAAAUUAUUAUUGAAUGAAGCUUUUGUUGAUUUAAAAAGAUGACAUUUUAAAAGUGUUAAAGAUAAUUAUUUUAGCAGUUUUAUCAGUCGGAUAUUUUAAUUUUAAUAAUAAUAUAAUAAAUAUUUAAAUUUAAAAAAAAUAUUUUUUUUUAUAUUCUUUCAUUUCAUAAAAAUAUUAAAAUAGACAUAUAUUUAUUUUUAUAUAAUAAAUAAAUCAAUAUCUAAAAAAAAAAGUCUAUAUAUAAAAAUUGAGAUAGCAUUAUAAAAGAAAGAAAAUAUUAUUUGACUAUUUUUGUGGGAAGAAGGGAAUAUUAAUUGUGGAUAUUAUUGAGAUUAUCUAAAAAGCAAGAACUCAUUUCUAAGUAGAUAAACAUUUUUAGUUUGUGUAAGAAUCAACAAUAUGAUUUUUGCUUUCCAAACUAGAUGUAUUUUUCACUUUUUAUUUAUUUUUUUAAAAAAUAAACUUAAUAACCUUAAAUUAAGAAAAAACGUGUUUAGCUCACUUUUUAUUUUAUUUUUUAAAAAAAUUUAUUAUUUAAUCUUUAUAUUAAAAAAAUUAUUAAUCGAUAUUUUUAUUUUCAAAAAUAUAUUAAAAACCAAGCAGUUACUCAAUUUCAGUGAGAUUAAAAUAUUCUCAUAGACUAAGCUUUUUAAUUGCUCUUCCAAGAAGAUCCAUACAUAUCUAUGGCUCCGAUCACCGCUCUCUUCUCCUUCCUCUUCUCUUCUUUUGAUCUUAUGGGUAGCCCUCAGCUUAUGGCAAUAUUCCAUGUGUCAGCAAUCAUGGAACCUUCAACAAGAUUUGGAUUUGCCCUCAUGGAUGCUAGAGCCCUCCGCUGAUUUUGAAUCUUCAUCUCAAUCUAGUACUUUGUCAUGUCCUAGUCAUCUAGGGUUUGUCAUUCAUGGAAGGCAUAGCUAAACUUUUGCAUUGGAUUUUUCCUUUUUUUCAACUUCUGUUUCUAUAUUUCUUUAGUCUCUUUUAUUACUUUCUAUUUGUUUUUGCUGUUUUGAUGUUUGUGAGUACUUGUUUUUAAAUGGAAGGGAGAGCUUGAUGACUGCUUUUGUUCCUUUUCUUCUUCGGACAUUGCUUUUGUCCUUGAACUAUUAUUGUUGUUUUUUGUCCAAAUUUAUUGAGAAAUUGCAUUUAUUAUUGUAAUAUUUUCUGCAUAAUUUGCACCAACCAAAACUUAAUUUGAUCGUUGUACUCAUAAUUAAUAAAC